AAUCCUUGUUAUUACACACUAUCCUUGCUCUGUGUUGAACAUGGCUACAAGCCCCUUUCGAUAUUUUAUUUCCCUUUUUCUGCUUUUGCUCUGUUUCGAAGCCUGUUUGAGGGUGGGUGAUGCUAAAGUUGGGUGCAGAGAGAGGGAGAGGCAAGCUCUCCUUCACUUCAAACAAGGUGUUGUCGAUGACGAUGGAGUGCUUUCUUCAUGGGGGAAUGGGGAAGACAAAAGAGAUUGUUGCAAAUGGAGAGGAGUCAAGUGUAACAACCAGACGGGUCAUGUGAUCAGGCUUGAUCUUCAUGCCCAAUCUUUGGGUUAUUUUCAAUCUUUGAGAGGUAAGAUAUCUCAGCUUGGUCCUUCAUUGGCAGAGUUGCAGCACUUGAAGCAUUUGAACCUCAGCUGGAAUGAUUUUGAAGGAAUUCUUCCCACUCAACUCGGAAAUCUUUCCAAUUUGCAAUCCCUUGAUCUCGGCAAUAAUUAUGGGGAUAUGAGCUGUGAGAACCUUGACUGGCUUUCUCACCUUCCUUCGUUAACACACCUUGACUUGAGUGGGGUUAAUCUUGGUGAAGCAAUCCAUUGGCCCCAAGCAAUUAAUAAAAUGCCUUCCCUAACUGAGUUAUACUUGAGUGAUACUCAGCUUCCUCCGAUUAUUCCAACAAUAUCCAUUUCCCAUAUUAAUUCUUCUACUUCUUGUACUGUGUUUGAUCUCUCCUUGAAUGGUCUCACUUCUUCAAUACACCCAUGGUUGUUCAACUUCAGUAGCAGCCUCGUUCAUCUUGACCUCUCUCAUAAUGAUCUAAAUGGUUCAAUUCCGAAUGCUUUUGGAAACAUGACUAUUCUGGCAUAUCUUGAUCUCUCUUUCAAUCAAUAUGAAGGUGAGAUUCCGAAGUCCUUUAGUAUCAACCUUGUUCAUUUGGAUCUUUAUCAGAACCGGCUGCAUGGUUCAAUUCCGGAUGCUUUUGCAAACAUGGUUUCUCUUCAAUCUCUUGAUCUCUCUCGGAAUCAACUUGAAGGUCAGAUUCCGAAAUCCUUGAGAGAUUUAUGUAAUUUACAGAGGUUAGGAUUGGCUUAUAACAAUCUCACUGGACUGCUAGAAAAAGAUUUUCUGGCCUGCUCUAAUGACACAUUAGAGGGUUUAUAUUUAUCUCAUAAUCAAUUCAGAGGGUCAUUCUCCCAUCUUUCUGGAUUUUCCCAGUUGAGAGACUUAAGUCUUGGAUUCAAUCAACUAAAUGGAACUUUACCUGAAAGUAUUGGACAACUAGCUCAACUUGAAAGCUUGUCCAUUCCUUCAAGUUCAUUGCAAGGCACUGUGUCGGCAAACCACCUUUUCAGUCUCUCCAAACUGUCGCACUUGGACUUAUCAUUCAACUCCCUUACAUUUAACAUAAGCCUUGACCAAGUUCCCCAGUUUCAAGCCUGGCAAAUAUUUUUGGCCUAUUGCAAAUUAGGCCCACGUUUUCCUACUUGGCUUCAAACUCAAAAACGUUUGCUGGAACUUGAUAUCUCUGCUUCUGGAAUUUCAGAUGCCAUUCCCAGUUGGUUUUCAAAUUUAAUUUCGGAUAUAUAUUGGUUAAACAUUUCCAACAAUCACAUCUCAGGCACCUUGCCAAAUAUACAAGCAGCAUCGUUUUUGGGAAUGGAUACGAGUUCAAAUUGCUUGGAAGGUUCAAUACCACAAUCUGUUUUCAAUGCUGAAUGGUUGGAUCUCUCCAAGAACAUGUUUUCAGGCUCACUUUCUUUAUCAUGUGGGACUACUAAUCAGUUUAGUACUAAUCAGUUUAGGCGGGGUUUGUUCCAUGUUGAUCUCUCAAAUAAUCGAUUGUCAGGAGAACUACCCGAAUGUUGGGAGCAAUGGAAAGAUUUAAUUGUUCUUAAUUUGGCAAAUAAUAAUUUUUCUGGCAAAAUUAAAAAUUCGAUCGGCUUGUUAUAUCAUAUGCAAACAUUGCAUUUACGUAACAAUAGUUUAACGGGAGCAUUGCCUUCGUCUUUAAAGAACUGCAGAGAUUUGCGUCUUAUAGAUUUGGGAAAAAACAAAUUGUCAGGAAAAAUACCUGCAUGGAUGGGAGGAAGCCUAUUAGAUUUGAUCGUUGUCAACCUAAGAUCCAAUGAGUUUAAUGGAAGCAUACCUUUAAAUCUAUGUCAACUGAAAAAGAUUCAAAUGUUGGACCUCUCAAGCAACAAUCUCUCUGGUACUAUACCAAAAUGUCUCGGCAAUUUAACCGCCAUGGCGCAUAAUGGGAGUUUGGUCAUCGCUUAUGAAGAAACAUUGUUUGCUACUGAUUGGCCAUUAUCCUAUAUUGAUAAUACAUUGGUUCAAUGGAAAGGAAAAGAACAAGAGUACAAGAAAACUCUUGGACUCGUCAAGAGCAUUGAUUUUUCAAGCAACAAAUUAAUUGGAGAAAUUCCUAUAGAAGUAACCGAUUUGGUAGAAUUGGUGUCAUUGAACUUAUCAAGAAACAAUUUGAUUGGACCAAUCCCUACGACAAUUGGUCAAUUGAAAUUAUUGGAUUUUCUUGAUCUAUCUCAAAACCAGCUUAAUGGUGGAAUUCCGGAUAGUCUUUCUGAAAUAGCUGAUUUAAGUGUUUUAGACCUAUCAAAUAACACUUUGUUGGGUAAAAUUCCAUCAGGCACUCAAUUACAAAGCUUUAAUGCCUCCACAUACGAUGGAAAUCCUGGACUUUGUGGGCCACCUCUUUUCAAAAAGUGUUCGAAAGAUAAAAAUCAGGAAAUCUCUUUCCCUAGUCUUAGUAGUAAAAAAGAGGACAUUCAAGAUGAUGCAAAUGAUAUAUGGUUUUAUGGGAGCAUUGUUCUUGGAUUCAUCAUCGGAUUUUGGGGAGUUUGCGGUACUUUACUAUUCAAUAGUUCAUGGAGAUAUGUCUAUUUCCAGUUCUUGAGCAAGAUAAAAGAUUGGUUGUACGUGACAACAACGGUAAAUAUGAAUAGAAUACGAAGGAGCCUCCAAAGUUAAAUGGUUUAAAGACCAUAAAAGGUGCAACUACAUGAUUGUAAGUGCUUUGGAUGAUGAUGAUAUGCUCACAGCUGCCCAAGUUUCCUGUAAAUUUAAGCAACUUAGCUUAUAUGUUUCUCGACAAAAAAUAGUUGGAAGGAAAUAUGCAUUUGAGAGAUGAAAAUCUUAAUGACUUUGACACAACCAAAGCACAUGAUUCCAACGACAAAACAUUGUUGUCACUAAGAAAAAGAAACAAGAAGGAGAAUAACAGAUUACUGCAUGAAAAGGUACCAGAACAGUAGAUUGAAGGAAAAUGUUUGCAGAGUUUCAAUGAUGAAACCCCAAGUUUUGUUCUAAAGAAAACUAGGAGAAUCCCUUUGAAGUUGGAUAAGAAGCAUACAAGCACUUUGAAUUGGUGUAUGGUGAUCAACAAUCCCUCUAGCUAUGUUGUUGUCAAUGAUGUUACCAAAAGGGAUGGGCACACUCAAUCUAGUGAGGUGGAAGUUGUAGGAAUUGAAGAUGAUGUUGCUUUCAAGCAUGUCGACUUGGAUGAUGAUGUAGAAGAUGAUGUUGGGAAGUAUCCUAAAUUUCUAAUUAGCAAAAGUUCCUUUUUGUA